AUACGGAGGGUGCAAGCGUUAAUCGGAAUUACUGGGCGUAAAGCGUACGUAGGCGGUCCGUUAAGUUAGAUGUGAGAGCCCCGGGCUUAACCUGGGAACUGCAUUUAAAACUGGCGGACUAGAGUUGAGUAGAGGGGAGUGGAAUUUCAGGUGUAGCGGUGAAAUGCGUAGAGAUCUGAAGGAACACCAGUGGCGAAGGCGACUCCCUGGACUCGAACUGACGCUGAGGUACGAAAGCGUGGGUAGCAAACGGGAUUAGAAACCCCGGUAGUCC
rnacentral:rRNA from 1 species